CCCCAGUGCGACGCAAGACGUCACUGGCUUGAACGGGAAGGUCAAUAGUAGUGCAGCGAGCGCCCGUUUUUCGCCUUGGGUUUCCGGCGCGUGCGCUUGGCGGUCUAGGUGCCGCGGAUCGUAGCCCGAUUCUAACCUCUGAUGCCCGUGUUUUAGCUCAGCCCCGGCGCCCACAUGCUGUGCCGGCUUGGCGGUAGGUGGCUGCGGCCGCUGCCUGCACUGCAGUUAGGAGUCCGGGUCCCGCCUCUUGCGCCAACCUCGACGGGCGGCAUUAAGCACUCUGCUCUGCCCGCUUGGGCCGUGGCGUCAGUCUCUGCAGUGGGCUCUGGCGGCCCUGGCAGCUGGUACGAGGCCCUGGCCACGUCGGCGCCGGUGCAAGGCGCGGAGGAGGUGCUACUCGGCGUGCACACCGCCACGGGUCUGCCCUGGUGGGCCUGCAUCGGCCUCACCACCGUGGCUCUGCGCGGCGCCGUCACUCUACCCCUGGCCGCCUACCAGCACUACAUCCUGGCCAAGGUGGAAAAUUUGCAGCCAGAAAUAAAAAACAUUGCAAGGCAUCUUAACCAAGAAAUUGCAGUUCGUGCAAAUCAGUUGAAAUGGUCCAAAAGAGCUGCAAGACUCACUUAUCUAAAGAAUAUGCGGAGGCUUGUUUCAGAGCUGUAUGUUCGGGACAACUGCCACCCUUUCAAAGCCACUGUGUUGGUCUGGAUUCAGUUUCCAAUGUGGGUCUUCAUGUCCAUUGCCCUCCGGAAUUUUAGCACAGGAGCAACACAUUCAGAAGCAGGUUUUUCUGUUCAGGAACAGUUGGCUAAUGAUGGGAUCCUGUGGUUUCAUGACCUCACUGCACUAGAUUCCACUUGGAUUCUGCCUAUCUCUGUUGGUGUCAUCAAUUUACUAAUAGUGGAGAUUUUUGCUCUGCAAAAAACUGGAAUGUCUCGUUUUCAGACGUAUAUUACGUACUUCGUUCGUGCAGUGUCAGUGUUGAUGAUUCCAGUUGCUGCGACAGUACCUUCAUCCAUUGUCCUCUACUGGUUGUGCUCCAGCUUCAUGGGCCUUUCACAGAACUUGCUGCUGCGUUCUCCUAGGUUUCGCCGACUUUGCCGAAUACCAUUGACCAAGUCAGAUUCAGACACUCCUUAUAAGGACCUCUUUGCUGCCUUUUAUGCCAAGUUCAUUUCAAGAACAUGAGAGGCUUUCCAGUAAUUUUGAAACAAUUGGAAGUAUAACUGUCACACUACAUUUAAGUUUAGAAAUUCAGAUGUGAUUUAAUUUGUCUUUAUUUAAAAUCAUGAAUUGUGUGAAGUACUGUGGGUUAAGAUAUAAUACAAAAGUAGAAUCAAAGUGUCUGGUUCUGCUUAUAAAAUUACAACUUGCUAGAGGUGCCAAAACUUUGGAAAACAGGAUUAGAUACUGCAUGAUGUUAAAUUACACUGACCAAUCUCAUACAUUAAAGUUUUUUAAAGUAAGAGAAUCCAGUGAGGUGAUUCUUAAAAUUUUGGUGGUGUGGAGGAUCAUAGACCCGUUUGCACAUCUGCUAAAGCUAUGGUUUUCUUUUCAGACAAAUCCUGGAACUCACAGUAUGGGGGCCUUCAUUGACAACCCCUCUGCCCCACACCAAGGCUCUGGUGAUUUCCUGGUUGAGAACUCUUAUUCUCAUGGAACAUACAAUGAUGAGUUAAUGUGUGACUUUUAACAAAUGGACUUAAGAUACAUGCAGUAGAGUAGUCCAUACAAGAAAGUACCUAAUAUGGUGACAGCCACAAAAGAAAGCCACCUCGUAAGAGCUUUGAACUAUCAGCGGCUGCAAUGCCGACAAAGCAAACUGAAAUAAAUGAACCAAACGUCAUCAGAUAAGGACAGACAUUGUCACGGAGAGGCAAUGGUGACUCUUGAACAAAAACAAAAGGAAUGAUGAAAAAAUCUUUAUUCAGUAAUUGUAUUGCUCUAAUGUUGCAUUGUUAUUUUGGAACUCUUAUUGUUAGGUAAAAUAUAUAACGUCUAUUAGGUAUCUUAAGUUUUCUUUGGAUGCUGUAACACGUUCCUUUAUGGCACUUAGGCAACUAAGAGGGAGAUGUUAUUGACCAUAUUUGUUGGAGAUUUAUUUAAAAAAUUUGUAAGUGAAGUAUAGUUGAUGUACAGUAUCAUAUUAGUUUCAUGCUAUUGCAGCACAGUGGAGAUACAUAAGAUAAAUUCUUUUCAAGUUUUUCUUUUAAGAUAGCUUCAGGAAUCACCCCUGAGAAAGAAAGUGGUCCCACAAAGAGGGUCCUGCCUCCCUGCGGUUCACCACCACCAUACUCAGAAAGCCUAGCCUUCAUACCUGUUUGACUUCAGACCUUCCACAAUCUCAAUUAGGAACUAUACAUAAAAGCAUUUUGGUCCUGGUUGAUUUCCAUCCAUAGGAACAUAAGACCCGGCCAAUACCACAAGGGGAAAAAAGUUACCAGCUUGGCAAUGGCAGCAAAAUUCCCACGAAUCAGCUAAACCAAGAAAGUGCUUUCAUACAGAGGCCUUGCCUAGUUCUUAGAGCCAUAACCUUAUGCUCUUCUGUAACUUGAACGUGAGGGAGAUCCUGAUACAAUUGCCCCAAGGGAAUUGCAGAGAGAACCCUGGCCCCUUGCGUUCGAUCAUAGACUGCCUUCUUGAACGCCCUGUGUUUUGUUAAGUUUUACAAAGUCUUACCUUUAAUUACCUAGUCCUAUACCGCUGGUUUUGUUUAAUAAAAUGAGGACUUCUGGGUGUUGGGGAACAAAAGCACUGAUGGAAAGACCUGAAAUAAAACUAAAAGUACUCCUAGAAAACAUCACUUCUACUGAGGUAUUCAAUCUAAGGUAACAAGACAUUUCUAUACUUGAAAGUCUCUGCUAGACUCCAAAGGGCCAAGAAUUUCAUGAAAAAAGAGGCCUCCAGGGAAAGUGCCCAAUUUCUAUCUUUUCCAUUUCUAGGAAAUAUCACAAGCACACUUCUCUCCCUUUGCAUCCCUGAUAAGGCAGUUUACAUUUGUUUUGCCUUCGUUAGGAAAGCAGCACUGUAUUUAAUUUAGCUUUGAUUUUUGUCUUCUGGCUAAAUUGUAGCUCUCCAGGGAAAUUUAAAAAUGCAUUAUGAAAUACACCUAACUCUAUUCCUUUCAUUGCAGCUGCAUUUCUGCAUGUUCCAACCGUAGUACAAAUAAUUUGAGGGAUUUCUUCUAAUUACAACCUCAAGCCUCCUGGAUCUUUUGUGAGUGAUGGCUGCUUCUGAGGGUAAGGAGUAUUAAAAAUGUAAAUUCUUUAUCUAUGAGAGAGCUAACAGCUUCAUAUUCCAUGCUAUUUAAAAUUUAUCCUAUAUGUUGCUACAGGUAGGAACCCUCAUAAAGUUUUAUUAUAGAAGCUUCUGUUGUGCUUGACUUUCCUAAUAAAACGUCUCUGGCUAUAUCCAACCUGAUCACCAGCCCUUUCUGUCACGUAUUCUCCAGAAUUUUUCUUCUUCUCAUCUAGGCUUCCUUUUUCUUAACUAAGUCUUCCACUGUACCCCUACUCUCCCAAACCUUUCCUCUGUUCUUACGUCCAUUAUACAGUAAACAAAAUUCUCCUUGCAACUCAGGAUGAUGGAAGGUGAAAUACCUUUAAUUUUUAUUAGUAGAUCAUUAUUUCCCUACUCAUAUGUAAGAAAAACUUUCUGUAUACACGCCAACUGGAUCUACCACUUCCUACGCUUGUUUCUGGCAUCUAUUGGCCAUCUCGUCACCCCUGUCAUUUACUGGCUUCCUGUCUUCAGGGCUGCCAUCACAGUGGAUGACUUCAGUAGCUAAGUGGCCGUCUUGUUAGGUUAGGCAGUUUGUUAGGUUCCUAACAGGAUACCUGGAGGUCACUAACGAAAAAGUCAUGGCCAGCUAUGGGGAAGGUCAGAGGCCUGUCCUGGCAGCACUCCACAAGAAGCAGGAUCAAACCAGACAGGCCCAAGAUGGCAGAUGCCAUGAAAGGAGACCCUUGGCCAAAUCAGGAAGAAAAAGCUCAGAAACCCUGCUUCCCCACCACUACCCAAGUAAUAAAUAUUCUGCCACCUACUUCACUAAUAAAAGAUAGAAACCCGACCACCCGCGUACACAGCUCCCUCACUGGCCAGCUUAACCUCCCCUUCUCUCUCUCUGUCUUUCCCUCUUUCCUUCUUUCUCUGUGUCCCUCCCUUCCCCCUUUUCCCUCCCUUCAGCUCGCCUGUCUCCUAUCUCAAAAGCGUAUUUUUCGCUUUAAUAAACUUUGCUGCUUGUGUUACUUGUCUGCUAUGCUGUGUGUCUGUCCUCGAAUUCAUUCUUGUGACAAGACCAAGAACCUUUGGCAACUCCUUUGGGUCUGGCUGGGUCGAGGCUCCAGGACCCAGGGACUCCCCAGUUCACCUGGCAACAGUCUCAUCUGACAACUUUGUCACCCGGUCGUUUCACCUGCUACCUGAGAUAUGUUAGUAAUUCCUUUCCAGUCUUCAGGACUAAGUAUUUCACCAGGUGAUGACAAUGUGUACCCUGCAGGCCAUAGAUUAUUGGAUCUGGGUUGUUCAUGUAGCCCAAGCAGGACCAUCAAAUCUCUAGGAAAUUUAAUCUAAGAGCUAUGAAGACACCAAGUCAAUUGGGUAAUUGGUUCAUGCUAGACCAGCCGUCACACCAGCCCAAACCCACAGGCAUGCUACAGCUAAGACUUUGCAUAGAAGACAAGGGUAGCAGAGAAAGCUUACGCAAGAAGAGAAGAGACAAAAUAACACCAUCUUGCAAAAGAAGCUGAGACUGAGAGAUCCCAGUCUCUACCCCCAUAAGAGAUAGAGUGGGUGGCCAAAAUUCCAAAAUUUGAAAUUGCAGCCACAUAUGACUUUCCUAUUGCUGCUGUAGCAAAUAAACUUAGUGACUUAAAACCACACAAACAUUAUCUUACAAGUUCUAGAGGUCAGAUGUCUGAUAUUGGUUCCACAGGGGUGUGUUCCUUAUAGAAACUGUCAGCGAGAAUCUGGUUUCUUAUGUUUUCCAGCUUUUAAAGGUUCCAGCUUAUGACCUGCCUCACUCUUUCAAUUGUUGGAUCCCCUUUCACUCUCACCCUCCUGACCCCCUCUUAUAAGGACCCUUGGGAUUAUUAUAUUUGGCCACCCUGAUAAUCCAGGAUAAUCUUCCCGUCUCAAGGGGCGCCUGGGUGGCUCAGUCUGUUAAGCAUCUGACUCUUGAUCUCGGCUCAGGUUAUGACCUCACAGUCGGCGAGUUUGAGCCCCACAUUGGGCUCAGUGCUGACAGCAUGGAGCCUGCUUGGGAUUCUCUCUCCCCCUCUUUCUCUGCCCCUUCCCUGUGUGCACUCUUUCUCUCAAAAUAAAUAAAAUCUUCCCAUCUCAGGGUGUCUGGGUGGCUCAGUUAGUUGGGCAUCCAACUCUUGAUUUUGGCUCAGAUCAUGAUUUUGCAAUUUCUGAGUUUGAGCCACAUUGGGCUCUGCCUUGGCAGUGCAGAGCCUGCUUGGGCUUUUCUCUCUGCCCCUCCCGUUCUCACUCACAUGUGCGCACGCACGCUCUCUCUCUUAAAAUAAAUAAAUAAACUUAAAAAAAAAAAAAGUCUUCCCAUCUCAAAAUGCUUAACUUAGUCACAUUUUUGAUCUCGUUCCUCAGGUCCAAGCACAUCUUGAUUAAGAUCUGUGGAGGUGAACAUGCGUCUUUAUCUUCCAUGCCACAGUGGUAGAUAGUCCUGCACUCUCUACGUGCAAGGAGUCAUUCCGUCUCCGUCUGCUCCCUUUGUCUUCCUAUCUGUAGCCCCCUGUUUGCUUACAAGGGUGGUGGUAGGGAGAGCAGGGCAGCUUUUUUUACUCUUAAUUAGAGUAAUCCCUCCAAUUUUUGUGUUAGCUGAUGUCAGUGCCUUAGGCGGGAUGUGUUCUCUUCCAUCCUCCCUUGGGCAGAAGGUUAUUAAAAUGCCUUACCAAGAAAAUCCUGACCUUGGCUUCUGAUGCCGUCCAUCUCUGGGAGACUGCCCAUUCUACCACUACAUAAAUGAGCUUACAGUGGUCAGUUGUUUUUUAUGUCUGAAGUGCACAAAUGCCAUUUUGGGGCUUUUACCUGUCUUGCCAUACCUGGUGCUACACCAGAGUGACAGAUGUCUUCUAUAUCUCAGUGAUGUGCUGAGGGAUAAGACGUUCAUUUCCCCCACCCCACCCCACCCCACCCCACCCCCAGCUUAAUAUCGCUGACACCUUGUCACUGAUCCUAACAUUGUUUAAUGGAAGCAGGGCACACACUCAAAGAUCAAAAAUGACGAGGCAGUCAUGCAGCUGGUAAUUCCUUGUGGCCUUGUAGGCAUGGCAACCCACACAUUGACUCUAUUGUUAUUUUUGUUCUGUAUGCAGAGUUGCUGACAUCAUUAGUGAAGUUUUGUUAAAAUCCUUGGGUUCCCCUGAGGAUAAAAGGGAAUAGACACACACACACACAAAGUCCUUCUAAAUGGGACAUUUCAUAUGGCCACUUUUCACCUUUCUAUUUUUCCUUUGAUCACAUAGAAUAAAGCAAAAAUAUUUUUCCCUAUUUUUCUCCACCAGAAAGUUGGCAUAAAAUGAUCCAUCAGCAAAACUGUGUAUGCAGAUUUUAUUCUCGGAUUUUAUGAAAAAGGUCCCUGGAUACAAAUUCUAUGGGUUUGGUAGUUAAAAUCAGGUUACCACUGUGGUGGGUAAUAUGUUCAAACGAAUGUAUUGGCCACAGGAGUCACAUUUCAGUCAAAAUGGUCAGUUCUCUUUGGCCUGAAGAGGAAUUCCUAUGUGAGCUCUCAGAGUUCAUUUGUUCCCCACUUACACACAGAAUGCUUACCUGCAGACUUCUUCCCCCAGUAGGACCAGGAGGGAGUGACUCCACUCUUCUUCCAGUGCCCAUGGCCACCAGCAAUCAUCAGGAAAGAAAAGACAAAGUGGUUACCUAGUGAAAGAGUAACCUCAAGUGAAAAUAGAGAAAUUCGAAAUCUGAAUUCUUGAAGGA